rnacentral:rRNA from 1 species
GACGAACGCUGGCGGCGUGCUUAACACAUGCAAGUCGAACGAAGAGCGAUGGAAGCUUGCUUCUAUCAAUCUUAGUGGCGAACGGGUGAGUAACGCGUAAUCAACCUGCCCUUCAGAGGGGGACAACAGUUGGAAACGACUGCUAAUACCGCAUACGAUCUAAUCUCGGCAUCGAGGAUAGAUGAAAGGUGGCCUCUACAUGUAAGCUAUCACUGAAGGAGGGGAUUGCGUCUGAUUAGCUAGUUGGAGGGGUAACGGCCCACCAAGGCGAUGAUCAGUAGCCGGUCGGAGAGGAUGAACGGCCACAUUGGGACUGAGACACGGCCCAGACUCCUACGGGAGGCAGCAGUGGGGAAUCUUCCGCAAUGGACGAAAGGCUGACGGAGCAACGCCGCGUGAGGGAUGACGGCCUUCGGGUUGUAAAGCUCUGUUAAUCGGGACGAAAGGCCUUCUUGCGAAUAGGGAGAAGGAUUGACGGUACCGGAAUAGAAAGCCACGGCUAACUACGUG